AACUCGGUGAAGAAAUAUCCAGGUGCGGCAAUGGCGAUAGCUCACAGCAUGGCCACACUUACCAUCACAAGCUCUCCCCUCUCUACUGCCAACAUGGAACAGUCCUCUUAAAGUCAGCUGACCCCCUUGACACCACAGUCUGACCACACGGCAUCAUGGGAAACCAGUCGGCUGUUUUGAAGUUGCUGAGCUAAGAUGUU